UGCCAAGCCCUCUAAACUGGGAGAACGGCAUCCCUGCCCAGCUUACGCAUAAGGAUAGAAGAUCCCCAAGUUGCAUCUGAAUUCCAGCAUACUCAGCUGCUGCUACAGCUACAAUCUGUCACCAGUCUAUUAAGUCAUCCAUUACUUAUUUCCGAAUCUUUCAUCUAGGUCUGCACCUCACAUUACCUUCCCCUCUCCCCACAAAAAGGAAAAGGAAGAGGUGGAAUUUGUGAUCAAGGCACGAGACAGGCUUGAGGAACUAAAAGCAGAGAAGCCUCUCUGAAAUCCCUGGUCUGCAUCUUACUUGUGUGUGGUUGUAAUUGGGGAAGGAGAGGGAACAAAGGUGAAAUCAGAAGCAGGAAGCAUUACCACAUUUAAUACAAAAUCAUUUUAUUUUUCAAGAUAAUUUUUUUCAACGGGUGGUUUCUGAUAACAUGCAAGAUUUAUUUGACUGCGGACCAAUGAGCAAACAAACUUCAGCCUAUGAUGUGUUUGCAAAUUGUUCACUUUGAACAUUCAUUAUUUGUGUUUAUGGUUGGUUAUUAGGUCAUGUAUUUGUAUGACAGCCAUUCCACAAAUGUUUGUGUGACCAAAAUCUUAUUCACAGAAAUGUUUGUCAAUCAAGAAUAAUAAGAGAUGCAUGGACAAACAAAACAGCUGUUCAGAAUUCAAAUGAAUGCUCCCAAAUACUGGUUUUACAAUAUUUGAUCAAUUUCUUUCUUUCUCAAAAAUGAUGGCAAAGUGCUAAACACUGUACUUAACUGUGAAGACUAACGGAGCAACAACAGGCUAACACAGAGGCAGUUGAUUAAGCUUACAGUUUUUCUCUUUGGCACUUUUAAUUAAAAUCAGUGCUUGCUUCAGCAGAAAGAGUCAGUCAAACCGGAGGAGGAAUGGAGUGCUGACAGAUGAAGUUUGACAAAUGCUUGUACUCUCUUCUUCAAGACCUGUUGUUGACACUGUCACCGCAGCCUGCAGAUGGACUAUCUGUCUAACCAACUCUGUAUUCUGGGUAGGAUCUUGCACUUUAUCCAGACUGAGCAUGAAGAGGGGACCGUGAUAAUUGCUCUGCAGUGUGUGAAAAGAAUCCUGUGUUGUUGUUAUCACCAUCAUCUGUGUGUAAAUGGUCGGGAACCUGAAUUAGUGGACAAAAUUAAAAUGAUCCCAAGAUUGAGCAAUCUUUAUCAGUAACCACAGGUCUUGCAUUGUUGACAGUCAGUACAAAACUAAUGCCAGUGAGCACCUGGCAUUGGCCACUGUUGGAAGACAGGAUACUGGGCUGGAUGGACCUUUGGUCUGACCCAGUAUGUCCGUUCUUAUGUGGUGGCAUGGAAAUAACACGCCCAAAGACAGUGCAGUCCAGUAGCCAAGGACAAGAGAGAGAAAUUUUCUGCGGAGGUUUGAAAAGAUGUAGAGAGUCAGUCAUGGUGAGAACUAGAGGAACCAUAUUCCAGAUGGCACGAGACACAGAGAAGCCUCUCACACCAGCAGUGGUGAGAUGGUAUGAAGAAACAAAGAUGAAGAGGAGUAAGUAUGAAGUGAGGCAAAAGGAACAAGGUGCUGGAGGUGGGCUGGAGCAAGUCCAUGGAGAAUUUUAAAACCAAGAUGGUAAUUUUGAAUUGCGUCAUAAAAUGAAUGGGGAAUCAGUGAAGUUGUUUGAAAUGGGGGGCAAAGUAACCACGCUUCUUUGAAGGUGUGAGGGGAUGGUGGACUGAAAUCUUCUGCACAUGUUGGUGUCUGGAGGAGGUACAAGAAAAGGCCAUGGAGCUCCAGUGUCAAGGCAAGAGGAGAUGAAGACAUGGAGGAGGAUUUCAGCAGCAGGGAAGUUCAAGCAUAUGCAAGCAAAAGGUGCAGGAACCUCUUACUCUCAACUGGGAAUAUGCCUACAAUUUUUGUUAUCCAGAGGGGCUUUCUCUGGAGAGGCCAAACGAAUCCUAUAGCAAGAAAAGUGACACACCAUCUUCUAACUAUCCCUGUGAUAGGAACAGCAGUCUCAGCUUUAACUUGUGGCCUUCCCCUGACAGAUCUGUACUCCCUCUCACCACUUUCAAUGCAUGGAAUUAUAGUUUCCUAGAUUGGGAAAGGAUGAGACCUAGGGAAAAGGAGGAUCUCUCAACCAAGACUGUACUCAAAGGCCUUGGGUCCAUUCAAAUAAUUAAUAUAGAUGUUACAUCAUUGUGAAUAAUCAGAUAUGCUGAGGAGGUCACAGUGAAGAAGAGGCGUUUGAAGAGAGCAUUUGUUUCCUAAAUUGGGACAAAGGACUAUGGGGACUGGGCAGGUCCUAGUCUGCUUUUAUGGGAAAGUCUAUCAUGCAUGAAUGAGUAUAAUGGUGAAACGAUGGAAAGUUAAUCUUUUUAUGUGGCUUCUGUUCCAGAAAAAUAAAAAGAGAAAUGAAUUGUAAUAA